rnacentral:lncRNA from 1 species
GCCCUUUUGUUUUCCACGUAAUUAAUAUUGCCAAUAAUUAAGAAGUUCCGGGUCGAGUCCGAUACCGAUACCAAUAGUAUAUUCACCUGUUACCGAUUACCUUAUCUGUACGUUCUGCAUCUGACAGGCGCACCACCAAACGGUGUAUUCAGGAUUAAUAUGCUGUAUAGUAUUACACGAGUCAUAAUCACAGGGUUGACACUACUUAGUUGUCAAAUUGUUACCUAUUGUAGGGCGUUUUGCAUUUGCGCCGAUCUGCAUUUCAUUUGCGCCGAUUUUUGUUUUCAUUUGCGCCGAUUUUAUUACAGGUAAAUUACAGGUGAAUAGAUAUAAGAAGAUGGCGAGUGUCAAUGAGAGAACUCUCCAUCCAAGUCAUGUUAUUUUUCAUUUAUCAUUAUAGACCUCUUCCAUUUGCCACUUGUACAAAUGUAAUGAAUUGUCAAUCACAACAUGUAUAUAACUGUUGUCCCCUGCUCACCACUGGGAGGUGGAAGAAGGCCUACAAGAUACAUCUCCAUACUUUUUUCCUUGUUGACCAUAUCCGUAGUUCUUUAGCAUCUGUCUUUCGAACAUUUACCACAUGGUUAUGCUCGAUCUGUGUUUUGACAAUAGAAUCCGUGGUAACUCUGGCUUUACACGAUUUUAUGGUACAUUAGUAAGAUAUGUAGUUAUGUUUGAGAACACUGACCUUCCGAUAUGUAUGGCCCUCGAUGAUUAAAGAAUUUACUUCUCGGUCCGUUUCAAUGUGCAAUAUGACCAUCAAGUUACAACGAAGUUCCAGAACAAUAUGGAUCAAAAUUAACUUAAACAUGGAUGAAAAACAAUUAUAACCAGAUUUUACCAAUGGUAUAGCACAGUACAUGUACAAGUUUUAACUUACCUGUAAAUCUAAUUAGGAGCAAAUAUAAAAUCGGCGCAAAUGAAAAAAUGAAAUCGGCGCAAAUGAAAGAAUGAAAAUUUUCAAAAUCGGCGCAAAUGUCAUACGCCCCUAUUGUAGUAUUUU